GUCGACCGCUGGCGGCGUGCUUAACACAUGCAAGUCGAACGCAGUGGCGAACGGGUGAGUAACGCGUAAUCAACCUGCCCUUCAGAGGGGUACACCAGUUGGAAACGACUGCUAAUACCGCAUACUGAAGAAGGGGAUUGCGUCUGAUUAGCGAGUUGGAGGGGUACCGGCCCACCAAGGCGAUGAUCGGUAGCCGGGCUGAGAGGAUGAACGGCCACAUGGGGACUGAGACACGGGCCGGAGUCCUACGGGAGGCAGCAGUGGGGAAUCUGACGCAAUGGACGAAAGUCUGACGGAGCAACGCCGGGUGAGUGAUGAGGGGCUUCGGGUUGUAAAGCUCUGUUAAUCGGGACGCGGUACCGGAAUAGAAAGCCACGGCUAACUACGUGCCAGCCGCCGCGGUAAGAC
rnacentral:rRNA from 1 species